GUGUGGCUUAAUUUGACUCAACGCGGGAAAUCUUACCGGGUCCGGACACACUGAGGAUUGACAGAUAUACGCUCAUUGCAGUUCGCUGCAUGAGCUGAAAGAUGCUAGUUCUUUCAUGAUUAUGUGAUAGGUGGUGCAUGGCCGUUCUUAGUUCGUGGAGUGAUCUGUCUGCUUAAUUGCGUAUCAAUAAUAGAGACCUAGUAUACGCGUGGAUUUCGCGUGGUAGUGACCCCCUGUUUAACGACAGGCGUGUGUCGCACACGAGUACCUACGCACUGGUCUCAGAUAGCAACGAACGUGACCGUAUUCUAUUGUUGCAGUGAAAUG
rnacentral:rRNA from 1 species